GAAGGAAGGAAUUCCUCUGAGACAGAUAAAACACACAGACUUAUGCAGGAGAGAGAGGAAAGAUGCCAAGAGCGUAAUGAGAAAACAAGUCAAUAUGAGAUGAAUAUGAAAAGAUAACAUUGUGCCAUUUAUAGGUCUUGCUUUUUGUUAGAAUAAACACAUAGCAAGUGUCCCUCGGCUUGUACAAACCACACUCAGCCUUACAGAUACCACAAUCUUCCGGAUAAGAAGUCAUUUUCUCCUCAAGUUCUCCAUAUGCCUCCAUCACCAAUCCGUUCUUGUUGGAAAGACUAAACUCAGAAUGGUCUUUCGGUUCCUCCAGCCAUGGUUCUCAACUGGCGUUGGUGGAAAUGGGGGGGGGGGGGCAGGGUAUGCAGCUGGCCCCCAGGAAGGAUACCUGCUCUGCAGUAGGCCAGGCAAUCCUGCAACAUGGGGAGCUACUUCCUUUGAAAUGUCUUCUCUGUGAUAUAAAAUUGUCAGCAACAAUGUCAAGAGCUUUCCAAUUGCUAUAUUGCCAGUUGAAAAAGGUUUCGGCAUGGCUGGAUGGCUCGAGUCACCUUAUCAUACGUUUUAUAUCUUAUCUCUGUGGUGGUUUGUGAGCUGUGGAAAAAGACCUCACCCCCUUUCUCCAUUAGACGACGAGGCCUGAGUGUGGCCUGCCUCCGCAAAGAUCCAAAAAUGUCAAACACGUCAAAAAGUAGCUUUCUGACCUCAGUGCUAUUCCUUCAGGCCACCUGCCUUCAGGCCACCACCCUAUCUCUGGCCUGCCAUGGGCUUCUAAGGACCUUUUUUUUUUUUUUUUUUUUUGAGAACUGUCGAGUAUUACUAUUUUUCUCAUUUUACGUAGGAGGAAACGGAGACGAAGGUUAAGUACACUGACUGCUCAAGGUCACAGAGAGCAGGUGCGAGGGCCGAGCUUCAAACCCAAGCACUCUGACGCCAAAACUCUUUACUGUUUACUGACGGCCAAAAGUGCCUGAGUCAGUCAUUCCUCACAUUUUCCAGUCAUAUUUUGCUCCUUUUAUAUCGCUGCAGAAUGCAUUCUAAUGAUUUCUGUUUUACUUUCUCAUCCCAAAUGCCUGAAAGUCUGUUCUAUUCUCAGCCCAGAUACUCACUGAAUGUGUUCACAUGAGCACGUCACUUCUAUUUUCUGCAUCUCAUCACUAAAACAA